UUUGAUGAAGUUUUCGGAUGGAUUUAAACAGCUUAGUGGCGGACGGGUGAGUAACGCGUGGGUAACCUGCCCUAGAGUGGGGGACAACAGUUGGAAACGACUGCUAAUACCGCAUAACGUAUCGGGAUGGCAUCUUCCUGAUACCAAAGAUUUUAUCGCUUAGAGAUGGGCUCGCGUCUGAUUAGAUAGUUGGUGGGGUAACGGCCUACCAAGUCUACGAUCAGUAGCCGGACUGAGAGGUUGAACGGCCACAUUGGGACUGAGAUACGGCCCAGACUCC
rnacentral:rRNA from 1 species